AAGCGAGCAUUUCUUGCUCUCUUCUGUUCCUUUGGUGGGAUUACAGAACAGGUAUUAGAGGAAUAUGAUUCGCAAGAGGCUUUCUUGGCCUUCUGCCUUCCACCAUUAGAUGAUGCAGCAAGAAGACCAUCACCAGGUACUAACACACCUUAAUUUUGGACUUUCCAGCCUCCAGAAGCAUGAGAAAUAAAUUUAUUUUCUUUAUAAAUUA